rnacentral:rRNA from 1 species
GAACGCUGGCGGCGUGCUUAACACAUGCAAGUCGAACGAUGAAGCCCUUCGGGGUGGAUUAGUGGCGAACGGGUGAGUAACACGUGGGCAAUCUGCCCUGCACUCUGGGACAAGCCCUGGAAACGGGGUCUAAUACCGGAUACGACCACCUUGGGCAUCCAAUGGUGGUGGAAAGCUCCGGCGGUGCAGGAUGAGCCCGCGGCCUAUCAGCUUGUUGGUGAGGUAAUGGCUCACCAAGGCGACGACGGGUAGCCGGCCUGAGAGGGCGACCGGCCACACUGGGACUGAGACACGGCCCAGACUCCUACGGGAGGCAGCAGUGGGGAAUAUUGCACAAUGGGCGAAAGCCUGAUGCAGCGACGCCGCGUGAGGGAUGACGGCCUUCGGGUUGUAAACCUCUUUCAGCAGGGAAGAAGCGCAAGUGACGGUACCUGCAGAAGAAGCGCCGGCUAACUACGUGCCAGCAGCCGCGGUAAUACGUAGGGCGCAAGCGUUGUCCGGAAUUAUUGGGCGUAAAGAGCUCGUAGGCG